UACGAAGGGGGCUAGCGUUGCUCGGAAUCACUGGGCGUAAAGGGUGCGUAGGCGGGUCUUUAAGUCAGGGGUGAAAUCCUGGAGCUCAACUCCAGAACUGCCUUUGAUACUGAAGAUCUUGAGUUCGGGAGAGGUGAGUGGAACUGCGAGUGUAGAGGUGAAAUUCGUAGAUAUUCGCAAGAACACCGGUGGCAAAGGCGGCAUCCUGGACCGGUAUUGACGCUGAGGCGCGAAAGCCAGGGGAGCAAACGGG
rnacentral:rRNA from 1 species